CCUACGGGUGGCAGCAGUGAGGAAUAUUGGUCAAUGGCCGGAAGGCUGAACCAGCCAAGCCGCGUGAAGGACGAAGGUGCCAAGCAUUGUAAACUUCUUUUGUCAAGGGACAAAAUCAGGCUCGAGAGCCGGACCGAGGGGACGUGAAGAAAAAGCAUCGGCUAACUCCGUGCCAGCAGCCGCGGUAAUACGGAGGAUGCGAGCGUUAUUCGGAGUGAGUGGGGUCAAAGGGUGCGUAGGCGGACUGUUAAGUCAGCGGUAAAAGCCCGGGGCUCAACCCCGGCGAGCCGUUGAAACUGGCUGUCUUUAGUUGUCGAGAGGUAUGCUGAUUGC
rnacentral:rRNA from 1 species